AAACUGCUUGUGUGUAAAGUUGACCAAAAGUCACUUGACAGCAAAUCAAAACCCAUUUAAUUACAACUUUAAAUCAAAAAGUAAUUUUAUAUGAGACUUUGCUAAUAAAUAAACAAAUGUUG